UCUGUUAAUACCCUUAAACAGUGUCAUUUUGUAAAUUAGGGUUCAUCGCCUUCUUUCUUUUCCGCCGUUAGAGAAAAUUGAGAUGGGGUUUCGAUUUUGACGUUUGAUAUUCGUCUUCUUCAACAUAAAUGCUCCCACUACAGAUUCAUCCCGUUAAGCCUCUUAUGAAAUCCAUCAACCACGAUCUAGCCUUUAAUGCAAGUUUCUUUUGUGCAAAGCGGUGUAUCUGCGAGUAUAUAAAGUCUGGCAGGUGCUCCGCCACUGUUGAGGUCAGAGCAGGUCGCCAGAGGCCAGUAAUGUCAUUUCACGGUGGAGAUCGAUGGAACAUUAUGAAGGCUGCUAUUAAUUCUAACCGGCGGCCUGCUCUCAGCCACUGUGUACAAGUAUCUUAUCAAGACAGGUUCAAUUUAUUCCAUAAGCGGUUUUGAUGUGACUCAGAGCAAUCUGAACUUAAUGCUGUCCGACUCUCCUCUAUCGAUUUGACUCAAUCGUCGAAGUGCGUCUCAUCAGAUUCUGGGAGGCUCUCCCUCGCUCUUUUAUCAUCUCUCUACCAGUUAUAUGAUUGUCCAUUGUAAUCUAUUUCUCUUUGAAGUUUGUCUUUGAACUUUGAUUUUUCAUUUUUAUGAAGAGAAAAUGGAGAGAUGGCACCAAAGAUACGUUUCUUCAAAGACCAAAUCUCGAAAGUUGGAGUUUAUCCCGAAGAGUUCAUAGACAAAGAAGUUUAUAUGGAUUUGGAUGAUGUUGAGGAGAAGCAGGAGAAGCGUAGAGAACCAGAAGCUGAACUUUCCAUAAUUAGGGCUAUUAAUAAAAAGCUUCAACGCUCUUACAAUUAACUUGUGGAGUUUAGGUCUCCUAGCAACUGUUCUAUACAAGUGAAUCUGCAUCUUGGUUUAGGUCUCAAGUCUUUAUUUAAGCUCUCACAAUGAGUGUAGAUGGAGAGAGAGUGAGUACUAAUCAUAUUGUUACGUUACGUUCAAGACCUAUGUUAACGCUGGGAGAGCAGAGACUUUGCUCUAUUGUUAUUGUCUCAAACAUUGUUAGAUAUAUGCAAGAUUCUGUAAAUAAGGAUGUUAUAAAAGCUAUGUUGGAGAGCUGUUUAAGAGUACUUCAAGGUUUAGCUUUCAACACUGUUGCGUGAUGAUUCUGUUAUCUUUGUAGACAAAAGUAUGAGAUGUAGUGAAUGAUUUCUUAUAGGUUUUACAGUUUACUUCUAUGUUUGUUCUUUUUCCUUCUGUUCUCUUAUAUCUCAUGUAAAUUUAAGUCAGAUAAAAAUCAA